rnacentral:rRNA from 1 species
UACGUAGGGGGCAAGCGUUGUCCGGAAUCAUUGGGCGUAAAGCGCGUGUAGGCGGUUCGGUAAGUCUGCUGUGAAAGUCCAGGGCUCAACCCUGGGAUGCCGGUGGAUACUGUCGGACUAGAGUACGGAAGAGGCGAGUGGAAUUCCCGGUGUAGCGGUGGAAUGCGCAGAUAUCGGGAGGAACACCAAUUGCGAAGGCAGCUCGCUGGGACGUUACUGACGCUGAGACGCGAAAGCGUGGGGAGCAAACAGG